AGCAGCGUAGCUCAGUGGAAAGAGCCCGGGCUUGGGAGUCAGAGGUCGUGGGUUCGAAUCCCAGCGCUGCCA
rfam:Ornithorhynchus anatinus chromosome 3, whole genome shotgun sequence.